CUACACGGGUUUCUAAUCCUGUUUGCUCCCCACGCUUUCGCACCUCAGCGUCAAUACUUGUCCAGCGAGUCGCCUUCGCCACUGGUGUUCUUCCGAAUAUCUACGAAUUUCACCUCUACACUCGGAAUUCCACUCGCCUCUCCAAGAUUCUAGCCAUCCAGUUUCAAGGGCAGUUCCGGGGUUGAGCCCCGGGAUUUCACCCCUGACUUGGAAAGCCGCCUACGUGCGCUUUACGCCCAGUAAUUCCGAACAACGCUAGCUCCCUCCGUAUUACCGCGGCUGCUGGCAC
rnacentral:rRNA from 1 species